GAUGAACGCUAGCGGGAGGCUUAAUACAUGCAAGUCGAACGGUAAGGUCUAGCUUGCUAGAUACACGAGUGGCGCACGGGUGAGUAACGCGUACACAAUCUACCUUUAAGUGAGGAAUAGCCCUGGGAAACUGGGAUUAAUACCUCAUAAUAUUGUUUUUUUUACGGAUGAAACAAUUAAAGCUCCGGCGCUUAAAGAUGAGUGUGCGUCCCAUUAGCUAGUUGGUAAGGUAACGGCUUACCAAGGCGACGAUGGGUAGGGGGCGUGAGAGCGUGAUCCCCCACACGGGUACUGAGACACGGACCCGACUCCUACGGGAGGCAGCAGUAAGGAAUAUUGGACAAUGGGCGAAAGCCUGAUCCAGCCAUCCCGCGUGCAGGAUGACGGCCCUAUGGGUUGUAAACUGCUUUUGUUUGAGAAGAAACGCCUGGAUUUAUCCGGGCCUGACGGUAUCUUACGAAUAAGCACCGGCUAACUCCG
rnacentral:rRNA from 1 species